AUUGAACGCUGGCGGCAUGCCUUACACAUGCAAGUCGAACGGCAGCAUGGGGGCAACCCUGGUGGCGAGUGGCGAACGGGUGAGUAAUACAUCGGAACGUGCCCAGUAGUGGGGGAUAGCCCGGCGAAAGCCGGAUUAAUACCGCAUACGACCUACGGGUGAAAGCGGGGGAUCGCAAGACCUCGCGCUAUCGGAGCGGCCGAUGUCAGAUUAGGUUGUUGGUGGGGUAAAAGCCCACCAAGCCGACGAUCUGUAGCUGGUCUGAGAGGACGACCAGCCACACUGGGACUGAGACACGGCCCAGACUCCUACGGGAGGCAGCAGUGGGGAAUUUUGGACAAUGGGCGCAAGCCUGAUCCAGCCAUGCCGCGUGCGGGAAGAAGGCC
rnacentral:rRNA from 1 species